rnacentral:rRNA from 1 species
CGAGUAACCUACGGGGGGCAGCAGUGGGGAAUAUUGCACAAUGGGCGCAAACCUGAUGCAGCCAUGCCGCGUGUAUGAAGAAGGCCUUCGGGUUGUAAAGUACUUUCAGCGGGGAGGAAGGGAGUAAAGUUAAUACCUUUGCUCAUUGACGUUACCCGCAGAAGAAGCACCGGCUAACUCCGUGCCAGCAGCCGCGGUAAUACGGAGGGUGCAAGCGUUAAUCGGAAUUACUGGGCGUAAAGCGCACGCAGGCGGUUUGUUAAGUCAGAUGUGAAAUCCCCGGGCUCAACCUGGGAACUGCAUCUGAUACUGGCAAGCUUGAGUCUCGUAGAGGGGGGUAGAAUUCCAGGUGUAGCGGUGAAAUGCGUAGAGAUCUGGAGGAAUACCGGUGGCGAAGGCGGCCCCCUGGACGAAGACUGACGCUCAGGUGCGAAAGCGUGGGGAGCAAACAGGAUUAGAUACCCUUGUAGUCACAUUCU